UGGGGAAUCUUCCGCAAUGGACGAAAGUCUGACGGAGCAACGCCGCGUGUAUGAUGAAGGUCUUCGGAUUGUAAAGUACUGUCAUUGGGGAAGAACGGUUUUCUUGAAAAGAUUGAGAAGACAUGACGGUACCCAAGGAGGAAGCCCCGGCUAACUACGUGCCAGCAGCCGCGGUAAUACGUAGGGGGCAAGCGUUGUCCGGAAUUAUUGGGCGUAAAGGGCGCGUAGGCGGGCCUUUAAGUCCGGUGUGAAAGAUCAGGGCUCAACCCUGAGAGUGCAUCGGAAACUGGAGGCCUUGAGGACAGGAGAGGAAAGUGGAAUUCCACGUGUAGCGGUGAAAUGCGUAGAUAUGUGGAGGAACACCAGUGGCGAAGGCGACUUUCUGGACUGUAACUGACGCUGAGGCGCGAAAGCGUGGGGAGCAAACAGGAUUAGAUACCCUGGUAGUCCACGCCGUAAACGAUGAGUGCUAGGUGUAGAGGGUAUCGACCCCUUCUGUGUCGCAGUUAACACAAUAAGCACUCCGCCUGGGGAGUACGGUCGCAAGAUUAAAAACUC
rnacentral:rRNA from 1 species